rnacentral:rRNA from 1 species
AUUGAACGCUGGCGGCAGGCCUAACACAUGCAAGUCGUGCGAGCGGCGGACGGGUGAGUAAUGUAUGGUGAUCUGCCUGAUGGAGGGGGAUCACUACUGGAAACGGUAGCUAAUACCGCAUACCCUCAGAUGAACCCAUAUGGGAUUAGCUUGUAGGUCAGGUAACGGCUUACCUAGGCGACGAUCCCUAGCUGGUCUGAGAGGAUGAUCAGCCACACUGGGACUGAGACACGGCCCAGACUCCUACGGGAGGCAGCAGUGGGGAAUAUUGGACAAUGGGCGCAAGCCUGAUGCAGCCAUGCCGCGUGUAUGAAGAAGGGCGUCGGGUUGUAAAGGACUUUCAGUAGGGAGGCGUUACCGACAGAAGAAGCACCGGCUAACUCCGUGCCAGCAGCCGCGGUAAUAC